UACGGAGGGUGCAAGCGUUAUCCGGAUUCACUGGGUUUAAAGGGUGCGUAGGCGGGCAGGUAAGUCCGUGGUGAAAUCUCUGAGUUUAACUCAGAAACUGCCAUGGAUACUAUUUGUCUUGAAUAUUGUGGAGGUAAGCGGAAUAUGUCAUGUAGCGGUGAAAUGCUUAGAUAUGACAUAGAACACCAAUUGCGAAGGCAGCUUACUACACAGUUAUUGACGCUGAGGCACGAAAGCGUGGGGAUCAAACAGG
rnacentral:rRNA from 1 species